UCCAAACUGAAUGUCAGAAUGGGAAAGAAAGACCUGCUGUUUCUGAGACUCCCUGUAUGGGCAGAGGUUUGUGGAAGUUGAAUUCAUCUCUCCUGGAAGAUGCGACAAUAAGACAAUCCUUCAAGGAGUUCUUUCAGGGCCAGGAACCGUUAGUGGACCUCUG